GGCGGACGGGUGAGUAAUGCUUAGGAAUCUGCCUAUUAGUGGGGGACAACAUUCCGAAAGGAAUGCUAAUACCGCAUACGCCCUACGGGGGAAAGCAGGGGAUCUUCGGACCUUGCGCUAAUAGAUGAGCCUAAGUCAGAUUAGCUAGUUGGUGGGGUAAAGGCCUACCAAGGCGACGAUCUGUAGCGGGUCUGAGAGGAUGAUCCGCCACACUGGGACUGAGACACGGCCCAGACUCCUACGGGAGGCAGCAGUGGGGAAUAUUGGACAAUGGGCGAAAGCCUGAUCCAGCCAUGCCGCGUGUGUGAAGAAGGCCUUUUGGUUGUAAAGCACUUUAAGCGAGGAGGAGGCUACCGAGAUUAAUACUCUUGGAUAGUGGACGUUACUCGCAGAAUAAGCACCGGCUAACUCUGUGCCAGCAGCCGCGGUAAUACAGAGGGUGCGAGCGUUAAUCGGAUUUACUGGGCGUAAAGCGUGCGUAGGCGGCUUCUUAAGUCGGAUGUGAAAUCCCUGAGCUUAACUUAGGAAUUGCAUUCGAUACUGGGAAGCUAGAGUAUGGGAGAGGAUGGUAGAAUUCCAGGUGUAGCGGUGAAAUGCGUAGAGAUCUGGAGGAAUACCGAUGGCGAAGGCAGCCAUCUGGCCUAAUACUGACGCUGAGGUACGAAAGCAUGGGGAGCAAACAGGAUUAGAUACCCUGGUAGUCCAUGCCGUAAACGAUGUCUACUAGCCGUUGGGGCCUUUGAGGCUUUAGUGGCGCA
rnacentral:rRNA from 1 species